rnacentral:rRNA from 1 species
AGGAUGAACGCUGGCGGCGUGCUUAACACAUGCAAGUCGAACGGUGAAGCCCAGCUUGCUGGGUGGAUCAGUGGCGAACGGGUGAGUAACACGUGAGCAACCUGCCCCUGACUCUGGGAUAAGCGCUGGAAACGGUGUCUAAUACUGGAUACGAACAGUGACCGCAUGGUCAGUUGUUGGAAAGAUUUAUUGGUUGGGGAUGGGCUCGCGGCCUAUCAGCUUGUUGGUGAGGUAAUGGCUCACCAAGGCGUCGACGGGUAGCCGGCCUGAGAGGGUGACCGGCCACGACUGGGACUGAGACACGGCCCAGACUCCUACGGGAGGCAGCAGUGGGGAAUAUGCACAAUGGGCGCAAGCCGUGAUGCAGCAACGCCGCGUGAGGAUGACGGCCUUCGGUUGUAAACCUUCGUUUAGCAAGGAAGAGCGAGAGUGACGGUACUGACAAGAAA